GAACAAAGGAGACUGGGAAGAGAAAUGGAAUUUAAUUAGAUCUGACACAGCAACUACGGAUAAACAGCACUUUUCUGCCCUGACCAGCAACUCAUUUUCUCUCAUGUAAGCUUCAAGAAAUUUCAAAGUAUGGAAAACAUUUUUACUCUGGCUUUUUUUUGUGAGUAAAUGUUUAAGACAGUACUGCUAUCAGAUAAAGUCACUCUUACCUCUUUGUCAGAUCUCUUUAAGUGGUUACACCUAUCUAAAAACUGAUAUCCUGCCAUGACCCAUUCCUUCUGUAUCAAGCUUUGAAAUCCAACAAUCGUUCGAAAAUAGGGAUCCAGCAUGACUUGAACUAGAGAAGCAGCAAGACAGCUCAGGUCCCGUCCCUCUUCCUCUGUGAAUCACACACAGAACGUAUGAAAUAUAAAAGCUCAUGAACCAUUCUUUUGUUAAUGAUACAAACCUGAUAUACUCUAACCAGCGAGUAUUUUCCAGUGAGGACAGCCACUUCUCUUCUGUUUCUUCGAAGGGCUCUGCAACAAGGAAAGCAGUAACGCUGCAGAACAACUAAUAACUACACCCGCCAGCCAGAUCUAUUAGAAUCAUUGUAGUUCAAGGAAAUCACCACCACAAAAGGAGGACAGUUCAGCUUACCAUUAACACACAGCUGCUUGAGUUUGAUGUGCGCAGCCUGGAUUUCCUGGAUGUUGGGGAGACACUUGUCCAGAUCAGAUUUGUAAACGUCACUUCUCAGGGGAUGGCUUCGAGUUAUUGCAUUACAAAUCCUGAUAUAUUAAAGUAAAAAUAAAAAAUCCAUUGUAUUACUGGAGAGAGGGAGAGAGUACUUACGAAACAUGCCAAACUGCAAAACACUAGGACUGCGUAAAACAUGCUUUGUUACAAAAGAAAGAACAAGUUCAAGUGUAUCUUUUGCUCCUGCCACAAAGCUGCUGGCUCAAAUAUUUUUGAUACCUGGUCUACAAAGCAAAGAUGGAAAGAUCAGACCUUUGAAACACUUUGGGUAAGUGAAAAUCUGAGGCAGACUUGCAGGCUAAACAGCUCUACGCAAUGUUUCAUUUUCCACCAUUUUUAGUAAGAUUUGUCUGUGCCAAAGAAACAGAACGUGCAUCAAGUAUAUAAAGCCAGGAGAUCUGACAGGGUUUCAAAUGGAACUCAGAGCUCCAGCAUAACACACACAGUGCAACAUCUAAAAGAAGUGUCUGUGUGUACUGUGGCAGUAAAUCUAUAAACCAGUAAAUACCAUAAACAAUUCACUUUUACUGUCCUUUGAAGCAGGUAAGAAAUUCUACAUAAACUAAGUUUUACUGCAGUAUUUGAUCUAAUCCUUCUAACAGUGAAUUCUGUUGCCUGGAAGACUGGCAAUUAAAAAAUACACAGCCCUUAAAACUUGAUCAAUUAUUCAGUCCUCCAGCUGAACUGGACCUUGAACAGAACAUGUGCCUGAACUAUACUCAGCGGACAGCUUCUCAAAAGCUUUUGCACUGUAACAUUAAGAAAAAGUAUGUUCUGCAUUACAGAAUGCUGCUCUACAUUACACACCAUUGCCACAUGCUUUGUGCUGUAUCUGCUUAAAGAAUAAUAUCAACUAAUUGUUCACCUUUGAUCGAUUCUUCUUUGUUGCAGCACAUCCUUAAUGUUGGCCAUUCUUACAAGGGCACUCCCGUUGGGAUGAUUCCAGGACCAUAACUAACAUACGAAUAACACAAAACAAGAAAAAAGCAUAUCUGUCUGAUCCUGUGGAUUUUUUUCUUAAUGCUCUAUAUAAGACUAUGUUAAUUGGCAUACACAUCUUAUAUUCAAUAUUGUACAAAUAAAGAACAAAGACUUUACUUACUGGCAUUCGUCUCCCAAUAAAAGAGUGGGAGUAGAGCUUAAGGUCUUGAUCUGCUAAGGAAGAAGGGACCACAAAAUAUUCUGGAAGGCUUGGGAGACAAACACAAUACAAAAAAUUACUUUUCCCUAAGUAUUUUAUCAGCUUUUCUCUUGUUGCAAUGUUGUCUUACCAGCUCCGUUUAACUCUAACGUGCCAAAUGUUAGUAUCACAGGGAUAACUAGUUGUCAUGUGCACCGCCUACAUGUAUGGUUCAGAUGUUUUUGCUUACAAACAUGCAGAUUUCAGAGGGAAGUAUAAGAGCAUGAAAGAAAUAGAUGCCAGAUCCAUUACGUUCCGGAAAUACAGCAUUCCUACAAAGACAGCACCUGCAGGAUGUUCCAGCUGAGGGCUCCCUCCAGUGAGCACACUGAAGAGUUAAAUUAGAGUUAGGUGGAGUUACGAAUUUGUUAGAGGAGAAAAGGCAGUGUAGUUGCCUUGCUUGCUUCUACGCUUACUUGCAUUACAAGAAAAACUUACCAAGUAGAUAUCAUAUAACCUUCAUUGACUGAACAAACUCUCCACUCCGAUGCACCCGUCCUUUUGAUUUCUCUAUCCCAAUCAGAGUAAGUUUCAAACAAAGGUGUCUGCUGACCACUGGUACUACUGAUGCCGCCACUGCCUCCGCCUCCUGGGUCUACUCCAUUCACCUUCUUUGCUAAGAAAAGAAAAUUCAUCAAUGCACAUUAAAAAAACCCAAAAUAUUUAUCCUCCUAAUUACAAGAGUAAGUCACUAAUAUCAGGACCAGCUUUACCUAUUUUUGCCUGAACACAGAUCUGUGGCUCAAUGACAGCUAAGAUGCAAAUGCAUUUUUUUCCUGCGAUGUCAACAGAGAAGCAACAUAAAGCUGGUGUGUUGUAUAAAGCUGGUCUGUUGUGCUGCUUGCUAGAAAGCAGGACAUGCUAAUGGUCAAGAGCGGAGCUUAUCUUCAGUGACAAGAUUUCUCUCUUCAACAUGCCAAAGUCACAGAUGUUUUAGAAAUAUCUAACCUUUACACGCUACCCUUUAAUUAACUGUCUUCUGCAUGAAGUAAAAUACUUGGUACAUCAUUUCAACAGCAUUUCCUUAUGAAUUACCAUCUGCAUUAAUCAAAAAGAUAAAUAAAGUGAAGGCUAGGCUAAAAACUGUUUGAAAUUGUUUAUUUUCUAAAAUAUCUGUUAUAUAUGUACAUACACAUACAUAUAUGCACAUCUGGCCCAUCACUUUGCGGGUAGGGACCAACGUGAUAUGCCCUGUUACUAUUAUAAGAAAUCCUCUUUGCUGGUCAUUCUUUAGGUGCCAAGGAGGCAGUCAACUGUGUCAAAAGAGACUGCAUUCUGUUCCUCGGUACUUGGGAAAGUUAUUAAACGAAGGUGAAAGAAGCUGAGACUUUUCCACCGGGAAAGCUCCUAGUAAGCACCGUAAAGAUGGAAGGAAUGAUGUGAAUUCUGCCCAAGCGAAUCAGAAGUCACUCUACCGUGAUUUCAGUGACUGUAUUUUCUACCUUCUGUUAUCUAUCAACUUGAGCACUCAGACUACUGUUUCUUAUUUCAUUCUUUCAGAAGAAAAUGCAGAACUCAGAAUGAAGGAGUUGUCCAAACAUAGUACACAGAAGAAUGUUACAACUACUAGGUGGUUCACGUUAGACUGUUUAACAACAGUUAAUUAUCAAACACAUUCUGGGAUAAAAUGAUGCUCAGGUACACCAGAGCAAUGCAGGCCUCUUUGUGUUCCCCUAGCAGCACAAUGACAGUACUUCAAAUCCCACUGUAGCAGGAUUGUCGAGAGCGGACAGUUACGGAACACAGGGCUGGAAUGGUAGGAGCAAAGCCAGAGAUCCAUGCCACAAACAAACCAGGGGUCACUUUACUACGUGGAGAUCUUUCAGUUAAAAACAGUAAUAACCACCACCAAGUAUUUCAAGCUUUUUCCUCUAGCAACUACAACAUAACAGAACAAUCAGUUUCUGCCAUUCUGACCUGCUGCUUCAUAUAGUAAUGUAUUCUACCCACCUCUUGUAAUUGUUCCCCUAUGUUUUUUCCCCAUAUAGCAAACUGUAUUUUAAGAACAGAGUUAAGGCAACUUUGUGACAGAUCAAUAUUUUGUUCAUGCUCUGCUUUAACACUUCAUUGUCCUCUUAUCUGCAAAAUGACUUCCUCCCUAGUACUUUAUUACACUAACCCACACAGACCUUAAUAACCACCCAAGAUUUACCAGGUAAGAAAAAUGAGUAAUUACGCGUGCAAUAUAAUCACAUGCACAUUCAUUCCUGUGCAUGCACACGGCGGUCAUGUAGGCACCUGCAUGGAAAAUGUCCAUUUUUGUACAAAUUUGAAUGUCUGAGCCUACAAUUCCACGACAUUCAAAUUUUGUAACAGGCAGAUCAGUGGUUUCUAAUCUCAGCUGCUGAGUAAAUAUUUCAGUACCACAGAACUACGCUGGUGGUACUUCUGCUAUUUGGAGGCUUGUAGUGCUAGAACUGAUGGUUUUCAGCUGUGUAUUGGCUGGGGAACACUAAGCAGUGACCGCACAGCAUUACACUAGAAAUCAAGUUCCAAAGGCAUCUUUUUCAGGCUUACCUAACUGACAGGGUUCAGUUGGAGAUUGGCCUUGAGCAGAGAGGGUGUGCUCCAACUCAGCACGGGUGGUGGAGGUUUUGAGUGGGAAGAACUGCCUAGUAAGCCUCUAGGAAAGAAGGUAUGGAGUCCCAAGCUGCACAAAUCCUCCUGCAAUACCACCAGAAGAGAAACUUAUUCCCAAAAGAAGGGCAGGUGAAUGAGCCUGCCUGAUGGGAGAUUAGCUAGGCACCUAGAGUACCAGUAAAGACCAAUACGCUGAUAGGAGGAUCAACGUGUGAAUUGAGAAAUAUGGGUAUUCAUGCUGACAUCGGUAGCUUGUUUCACACAAGAAAGAUAUUUCUUUUGAUUUUGGUACUUAAAAUCUAUCACGAUGACUGACUUGCAUCUGAUAGUAAGAGGUUGGCUGCAGGACAGGCUAUUUUAAUUACCCCUACAGGAAGCCUCAAAUGUUUUUUGCUGUUGUUUCUGGAUAAAAGUCUUACUAAACUUACACAUUGUGGAAUAAUAAAAACAUUUUCAUACA